AACGCACGCUAGGGUUACCGCGGCUGCUGGCACGGAGUUAGCCGGUGCUUCUUCUGCGAGUAACGUCACAGCUAGCAGGUAUUAACUACUAACCUUUCCUCCUCGCUGAAAGUGCUUUACAACCCGAAGGCCUUCUUCACACACGCGGCAUGGCUGCAUCAGGGUUUCCCCCAUUGUGCAAUAUUCCCCACUGCUGCCUCCCGUAGGAGUCUGGGCCGUGUCUCAGUCCCAGUGUGGCUGAUCAUCCUCUCAGACCAGCUAGGGAUCGUUGCCUAGGUGAGCCAUUACCUCACCUACUAGCUAAUCCCACCUGGGCUUAUCCAUCAGCGCAAGGACCGAAGUUCCCCUGCUUUCCCCCGUAGGGCGUAUGCGGUAUUAGCAGUCGUUUCCAACUGUUAUCCCCCACAAAUGGGCAAAUUCCCAGGCAUUACUCACCCGUCCGCCGCUCGUCAUCUUCAAAAGCAAGCUUUUGAAAUGUUACCGCUCGACUUGCAUGUGUUAGGCCUGCCGCCAGCGUUCAAU
rnacentral:rRNA from 1 species